rnacentral:lncRNA from 1 species
GUGGGAUAAUCUCAAAAUUUUCCAUCUCCUCAAUGUUGUGUUCUUUGUCAUUCAGCAGACGAAAAUUCAGACCAUCUAUUCCUUUCUUUCGUACUCCUCCCAGGGAUGGCUUCAAAUCAUACAAAAGCUAUCUCUUCAUCCCCCUCCCAAUAACAUCCAAGAAUUUUGGGUGGUCUGGAGGAAUGAUUAAUAUACCUCACGGUGUUGCAAAGCAAGCUUGGGACUACCUGGUAUCGGUCAUAAUUUGGUGCCCGUGGA